rnacentral:misc_RNA from 1 species
AAGUCGUAACAAGGUCUCCGUUGGUGAACCAGCGGAGGGAUCAUUACUGGGUGGCUUCGGCCUAAACCCCCAACCAUUGUGAACGAUUCCAGCGGCUUAGCUGGUGGCGGUGAAUAACUGCCCUGGCGGCACGCGAGACUCUUCUAAUGUUAUCUCUGAGUUACUUUUAAUAAGUUAAAACUUUCAACAACGGAUCUCUUGGUUCUG